rnacentral:lncRNA from 1 species
UGCGGCUCACUCCCCUCGGAUGGUCUUUCCACCCGAGUUUUUCCCGGGAAGAGGCUCUCAAGACUAGCCAGUGCAGGAGGAGGAGUCGAACUCUGGAUAGCCUGUUUAUAAAGCCCUAACUGUGCCGAUGUUGACCGUUUUCUGAAACUCCUCCUCCAAAACCCACGCCAAACCACAAGAUGAAGGAAAUUCACACAUCAGGAUGCCAAAAACCAUGGAAGACUUCUGAUGUUCUGGGAGGGUUGACAAAGAUGGACCUUAAAUUCUAGAAUUUAGGUAUUCAUGGUUGAGAUCCUGAAGAAAACAUUUUCUGCUGAGCAGAAGCAAUUUAAUAAUUGCCUCCCUUCAUUGUAAGUUUUUUAUUUCUUCCUUAUGUCUGAUUAAUCCCCCAAUAUAAACUUCAAUUAAUUGAGCAGCUCUGCAAAAUAUAUGAAUAAAACACCACAUAUUAAGAUAUUGUCAGAAUCCAGAAGUGUCUGCAGCCAACCAAAGAGGGAAUGUUUGAUGGACAGAAGUUGGAAUGGAAGGAGAAAAUGGCUUAUUUUAGUUAAAAUGUUUUACUUUUGGAAAUUUUUUUAAAAACUUAUUUUCACAUAUCACAUAAAUACAUUGUUAGGACCCCUCCCAGGGCCAUAGAAGUGGCCUGCACAGACAUCUGGUUUUAAAGUGGCAGUACAGAAGCAAGCUGGUUUCACUGUCCCCACAGAAAACCAAAAAUAUACAGAGCUGUGAUUUUCCCCAGCAACAGUCCAGAACUCAUAUAUGAGGAUGAGACAGAUCCUAGGGCCAUAAAGAAAAAAACUUCUUUGGAAAAAAACUCCAAGCAGAUGUUAAGGUCGAUCACAAGACUUCUAAUCACAUACUGAGAAAACAAAAGCAUCACUGCAGGAAAUCCCUUUAAACUUUUGCCUUAUGGCAAAUGGACAUAUGCUCAAAGGUGCUGAACACAUGAAAUAAGGCUGUAAAAAUCUACUAAACAAAUGAAAAUAAUUACAUUGCAAAUGCUUUUUUCCUUAGAGCACUUGUUUUAAGAAAUGUAUUUCUGGAAUACAAGCUAGAAGUGGUUUUGUCCUGCUGCUGAGGGUUAAAGGCAAACUUAAGGUCUCCAGCCUUUGGUGUGACACAUGAGAGCGAAUAACAAAAAGAAGGUCUUGAGUUUUUUGAUAGUUAGGCAUAUUUUCAUUAUAAUGGUAUCCAGAUAUGUGAUAUAUCUGAUAUAUAAUACACAUAUAGACACAUAUAUGUCUCUCUAUAUAUUUGUAUAUAGGUAGAUUUUAUUAUAUGUGAAAUCUGCAUAUAACUAUAAUGAAAGUCUCAACUGUUACCUCAAUAACCUUUAACCUGACUACAAUAUUUAAAAGUUCAAUCUCACUACCAGAACACACCCUGACACUUCUGAUUCUAUUUUGCUUUAUGUUUUGCAUAUUGUUUGUCAACUUCUAUCAUAUGACUUAGUAUGUUUAUUAUUUAUUGUCCUCUCUCUCCAUUGAAGAGAAUUUUUGAUUCCUUAAAGAAAAUAUUUCUCACAUGAUCAGUUUUUUAAUUUACAAAAUAUCUCAAUGUCAAUGUACCCAUUUCAAAUAUAUGUGUGUUAAACAUU